rnacentral:rRNA from 1 species
AUUGAACGCUGGCGGCAGGCCUAACACAUGCAAGUCGAGCGGAGCGGGGGGCGGGUGAGUGAUGCCUAUCAAUCUACCUGCCAGUUGGGGAUACCUAACGGAAAGGAGCGCUAAUACCGCAUACUAUCAAAUGAGCCUAGGUGGGAUUAGCUAGUUGGUGGGGUAAAGGCUCACCUAGGCGACGAUCCGUACCUGGUCUGUGAGGAUGAUCAGCCACACUGGAACUGAGACACGGUCCAGACUCCUACGGGAGGCAGCAGUGGGGAAUAUUGCACAAUGGGCGAAAGCCUGAUGCAGCCAUGCCGCGUGUGUGAAGAAGGUCUUCGGGUUGUAAAGCACUUUAAGUGGGGAGGCGUUACCAACAGAAGAAGCACCGGCUAACUCCGUGCCAGCAGCCGCGGUAAUUC